UCCCUGGUGGCUCAGAUGGUAGAGCAUCUGCCUGCAAUGCAGGAGACCUGGGUUCUAUUCCUGAGUCAGGAA
rnacentral:tRNA from 1 species